AGCCUUUGAGCUUUCAGCCAGACAAGGUUGAGACUGCCUGGAAAUACUAACUUGAGAGGAAUGUGGGCUGCUAUUUAAAUACACCUAAAAAAAAAAUCGACUUUGAGUUCCCUUAAGGAGACUGUGGCCCUUGCUCUCCUUGGGAGAUUAUUAGAGGGGCAGAUAAUCCACUGGUAAGUGCAUGACCCUUGGAGCUGCCUAGAUAAAGAAUGUGAGGAAAAUUGGCUCUUCCUUGGUCUUGAGCUUGCCAAUAUUUGGGCUGGAACUAUCAGCUGUCCUGGUUCUCAGACCUUUGGAGUUGGACUGGAGCUACAUCAUCAGCUCUUCUGGGUCUCUAGCCUGCCAGUUACAGAUCUUGGGACUGUCAGCCUGUGACAUCUGACUGCCUUCUUGCUGGGGCCUCAUGUGACAGAGAGAAAGCAAGCUGUCUGGUGUCUCUUCUUAGAAUGACAAUCCUAUUGGAUCAGGACCCUACUCUCAUGAUUUUAUUUCUGUAAAGGCCCAUCUCCAAGUAUGGUCACAUUGGGAGUUAGCACCGUAACAUAUGAUUUUGGAGGUCAUACAGUUCAAUCCAUAGUGCAGUCUACAUGGACUCAAUUUCAAGGCUGGGAUCAUGACCUGAAUCAUGACCUGACUGAAGGUAGAUGCUUAACUGACUG